rnacentral:rRNA from 1 species
GUUGUCCAUCAUUCAGUUGGGCGACGUCUAGCGAGACUGCCGGUAAUAAACCGGAGGAAGGUGGGGAGUGACGUCAAAUCAUCAUGCCCCUUACUGACCUGGGCUACACACGUGCUACAAUGGUUGGUACAACGAGUUGCGAGUCGGUGACGGCGAGCUAAUCUCUUAAAGCCAAUCUCAGUUCGGAUUGUAGGCUGCAACUCGCCUACAUGAAGUCGGAAUCGCUAGUAAUCGCGGAUCAGCACGCCGCGGUGAAUACGUUCCCGGGCCUU